CGGGGCGGUGCUUACCAUGCAAGUCGAACGGAGAUUCAGCAAUGGAUCUUAGUGGCGAACGGGUGAGUAACGCGUAGGCAAUCUGCCUUCUAGAUGGGGACAACAUCCCGAAAGGGGUGCUAAUACCGAAUGUUGUAAUUGGUUCGCAUGGACUAGCUACUAAAGGUGGCCUCUGAAUAUGCUACCGCUAGAAGAUGAGCCUGCGUCUGAUUAGCUAGUUGGAGGGGUAACGGCCCACCAAGGCUUCGAUCAGUAGCCGGUCUGAGAGGAUGAACGGCCACACUGGGACUGAGACACGGCCCAGACUCCUACGGGAGGCAGCAGUGGGGAAUCUUCCGCAAUGGACGAAAGUCUGACGGAGCAACGCCGCGUGAGUGAAGAAGGUUUUCGGAUCGUAAAGCUCUUUCGUUAGGGACGAACGUGCUCUUUGUGAAUAAUGAGGAGUAAUGACGGUACCUAAAUAAGAAGCCACGGCUAACUACGUGCCAGCAGCCGCGGUAAUACGUAGGUGGCAAGCGUUGUCCGGAAUUAUUGGGCGUAAAGCGCGCGCAGGCGGGAUAUCAAGUCUGUCUUAAAAGUGCGAGGCUCAACCUCGUGAGGGGACGGAAACUGGUAUUCUUGAGUGUCGGAGAGGAAAGUGGAAUUCCAAGUGUAGCGGUGAAAUGCGUAGAGAUUUGGAAGAACACCAGUGGCGAAGGCGACUUUCUGGACGAUGUCUGACGCUGAGGCGCGAAAGCUAGGGGAGCGAACGGGAUUAGAUACCCCGGUAGUCCUAGCCGUAAACGAUGGGUACUAGUGUAGGGGGUAUCGACCCCUCCUG
rnacentral:rRNA from 1 species